UACGGAGGGAGCUAGCGUUGUCCGGAAUCAUUGGGCGUAAAGAGCGUGUAGGCGGUCCGGUAAGUCCGUUGUGAAAGUCAGGGGCUCAACCCUUGAAUGCCGGCGGAUACUGUCGGGCUAGAGUCCGGAAGAGGCAAGUGGAAUUCCCGGUGUAGCGGUGAAAUGCGCAGAUAUCGGGAGGAACACCUAUGGCGAAGGCAGCUUGCUGGGACGGUACUGACGCUGAGACGCGAAAGCGUGGGGAGCAAACAGG
rnacentral:rRNA from 1 species